rnacentral:lncRNA from 1 species
UUGUAAGGUUGUCAACAAGUCAGUAGACGUAUGGUCAAAAGGUCACAGACUAAGUCAGGUCAGUUAUAUUGAUAUCAUAAUUAUCUUUAACAAUUCACUCAAGCUUUGAGUUGUCGAAGCAAAUAAAUAUUCAUGUAAUAAUUUAAUUAAAAAAAAUUGUAAAACAUCCAUUUUUUGCCUAUCUAGAAUACAUUUUGUAAAAAAAAAUCACAUCAUAAAAACUCUGCACCAUCAAGCUAAAAACAAAAUGUAACUGCCUGACCACAGUCAUAACUUAUAUCAAUGAUUUAUAAUGGUUUUUUAUUGUUGAAGAAAAUAAACACCCACCCAAACAACAAUGUCUUUUGCUUACUGGGUAAUUAUGUAUCCUAUUUAUGUAUGUAUGUUCUGUAUCUUCCUCCCUUAGUUGGAACAUCAUGAUAGGUCAUGUUGUAACAGAGGACAUUUAACACACUGUAUCGGAACAGAUUUAAUGUGAGCAUUUACCUGCUUAGUUCCCAAAGCCUGGCCGUGAAGAGUCUUGCUACCAGAAAGUUUAAUUUCCUUAAAGACAAUUAGUACAAUGCAUACCAAAUUAAUUGUAUUGUUUAACCAAUCAACUAAGGAGAAUGUAUUUCUGUUACAAUAUACUUUCUGUAACUAAGUAAUAAAUCAUAUUUAUCUGUAAUUAUUUAUGUAGGACACAGUCACCCAAUCAGAACAAGACAUUUCGGUUGCUGAGGAUAUUAAUAGGUAUGUAUAUUAAAAUUAAUUCAUGGAAGGUCAUUUAUAAAUAAUCAAAUAUGAAAAAUGGUCCAUUAAUCAAUCUUAAAUUUUCGAAACUUUCACUGAAAAUACAAGACAAGAUUUUUUGUAUGUACUGUGAGACCAACUACAGAUAUCUAUCAUAUUGUGUUUAGAAAUCUACUGAAAAUAGGAUUUUAUUGCUGACUUCUUUGUCAUGUUGAACCAAUUUAAGUAUAUAAAGAAAAUUAUAGAAAUACAUAUAAAAGGUUUCUGAUGAGAGAGAAAAACAUCAACUAAUGUGGAACAAAUAAGAUAUAAAGAUAUAGAUAAUUAAAUCCCCAUCUAAUUGGUUAAAUUUAAACAUAUAUAUGUAGGAAAUGGGAAUAUUGAUAUUUUCUGAUGCUUUAAGAGACAGAGUUUUUAAGAUAUAAAGCCAAUAUUAAAGCUAUUCAUAAAAGUCUAAUGUGAACACAGCCAACCAAUCAGUUUUGUAAAUGAUCUAGCUACAGAUUCUCUUUUUAUCUGCUUUUUGGUGACCAAUAAGGCUGUUUACACCUUAUUCUAUUCAUUGAAUACCAGUAGAUUUCAUUUAGAACAGAAAAAUUGAAAUUAUUUGAGAGAUAUGAUUGAAAACAGUAAAUGUUAAAAGUGCAUAUGAUUCAGACAUCCCAUGUUAAAGUAAAUACCGGUGAGACUGACUCAUGCCACUAAAAAUGUGGUACAUGUACUUCUGAGUCGAUAUAAAUGUUAUAAGACCUGUGUUAAAUCAGACUGUUAAUGUUGUUGUUUAUAUAUGUAUAGCAUGAUACACAGUAUAAAAGAGACAGGGUAUGCUAUGUGGUACCACAGGUUGGUGACACGUGUGACACAAUCACCAAUAAAAUCACAAAUGUCAUGUUAAAAUUAUAAAUCACAUAAACAAUCAUUUGUUUGUGUUAGGAAUAUUCAUUACACCAUGCAGACAACACUUUUAAUGAGAGAAAUAUUCAUAACAAUAUGCAUUUAAUAUCAUAAAUAAAAUGAGUGCUUUGGUUUCAAAGUUGUCUAAGAAGUUCAGGAAUUGAUUAAAAACAAUGCAAUCAACAUCAUUAUAAAUAUUGUAAUUGUGCUCUUUCAUUUGAAAUAUUUUUGUCAAAUAAAAAAAAAAAUCCGAAGAAAAUUGGAAUUAUAAUUGUUAGUUCUGCUGUCUGCUGAGAGAAUAUCUUAUAAAAUAAUUUCUGUUCACUUUAGAUGGGCAAAUAUGACCACAAUGAUAAUGAUUGUAGUAAAAAUUCAAUUGUGUUAAUAAUGUCAGGACAAUUUAACUCACAGAUUUUGUUAACAUCAUUAUAAGAUCUUCAUUGUGUAUCAUUAGUAAUAAAACUUGUCAAAGUAAGAACAUUGUAAUAUAAAUCAUGGCUUCAUAUACGCAUCAAAUGAAUACUCACUCAAUAGUAUGUCUUAUUAGAUGGAAUUUAGACAGAUCACUAUUGAAAUACAUUUGCCAAUUACCGAUUUGAUUCUGUUAUUACACACUUUUUAAACGAAUUACUUCCCUCUGUGAAUCGUAGACUGGUUCCAUACUGGACAAAAUUGGCUUUUGCCAAUGCAAAACAUAGCAAAUUGAAAGUGGUGUAUCGGUGGUUCAACUAAUUUUUCACGAAAAAAACCAACUUCUGAUGACAAAAUUAUUUAGCUUAACAACAAAUUAAUGCUAUUAAAAGAUUUGAGAAACCUUAAAGAUUACUCACAUUAGGCACAGUUAAACUUGCUCUUUCUGCUAGCUCCCCAUUGUAAAUGAAAAUUAAUGUCCCUCAUAAGGGAGACAACUGAAAAGGGAUCUCUAAUAACAGGGUCAAUAGACGGGAAUUGGCAAAUAGCCUAUUCCUAUUAUAAGCCCAAGUCUGCUAUGAAGAUUAGAUUUGUAGGAAUUACCAUCCAAUUGCUGGUUGACCUCUUAUUGAUCCUUAUUUUACUGUUUUCUUAUAUUCUUUAUUCAUCUUAUCUUUUAUUACUGACUACAGAUUUGAAAUGCUAGGAAAACUAAUGGACAAGAUUGACUCUUAUCAUAUGUUCUCUUCAAAUUAUAUAGUUUUUUAUAGAAAAUAAUUCUUUAAUUAAUAAUGUAACUGCUAUUUUGAGCUAGGUAGUUAAAUGUGAUAUAUUUAUCUUCUUCAGUAACAACUCAGAAGGCGGAGGCUUCUCAGACUGGUGAGGUCAUAUAUAGAAUGGAUUGGUUACCAGGGUUACUUGGUAAGGUGCCUGCAACAUAAAAGACUUCAUGACAAAGAGAGGGAGAGAGAAAUUGUAGUGGACAAAAAAACUGUGAUAAAAUUAUUGUAGUGUCAAGUCAGUUUAUUUUUAACAUUUUAUUUAUAUCAUGAAUAAAUUAAAUUAUAUGAAAACAUGUUUUUAUUUUAUUUUCGGAGAAUAACUGUUUAUUUAUUUUAGUUGGUACCAAUUUUUGU